CUCAGGGAGGUAGUGACAAGAAAUAACAACACUGGAAAUUUUAUUUCUAGUGAUUGGAAUGAUGGGAAUUUAAACCCCUUUCAGAGUAACAAUUGGAGGGCAAGUCUGGUGCCAGCAGCCGCGGUAAUUCCAGCUCCAGUAGCGUAUAUUAAAGUUGUUGCAGUUAAAAAGCUCGUAGUUGGAUGUCUGCUGGAAGCAAUCAGUCCGCCCUAUUUGUAGGGUGUGCACUUGAUGAAUUCUGGCAUCUAUGUCCUAAUGUGAUAGAUACGGCGGUGUAUAUGGGUUAAUCCUAUAUACCCGUUUUUGUAUAUUAUAUUGGGAUAAUACCGUUACUUUGAGAAAAUUAGAGUGUUUGAAGCAGGCUAAUUGCCUUGAAUACUGCAGCAUGGAAUAACAAUAUAGGAUUUCGGUUCUAUUUUGUUGGUUUCUAGGACUGAAAUAAUGAUUAAUAGGGACAGUUGGGGGCAUUCGUAUUUAACUGUCAGAGGUGAAAUUCUUAGAUUUGUUAAAGACGAACUACUGCGAAAGCAUUUGCCAAAGAUGUUUUCAUUAAUCAAGAACGAAAGUUAGGGGCUCGAAGACGAUCAGAUACCGUCGUAGUCUUAACCAUAAACUAUGCCGACUAGAGAUAGGAAAAUGUCAUUUUUCUGACUU
rnacentral:rRNA from 1 species